AAUCGCGCAGCAACCACACCACUUCCGCGCUGUUGACGUGACCUGUCAAAAUACAUAACCUCAGUGAUAGUUGUCGGCCAAUAUGUUUAAAUUGUUAUUGCAAUUAAUUUUCGUGGUGGUCUUCCUCGAGUACACAGACAAUGCGGCGGUGGACAUGUUCAAGAACAAUUUCAAGACACAAAACGACCAAGUGGUCGGUUUGUAUUCGAUUACGGACGAUGUGGAGAUUUUAACGAUACACAACUUCAAAAGCUCAGUGUAUGGUAGUAAAAACGCGUGGCUGAUCGAGUUUUACAACAGCUACUGUGGUUUUUGUCAGAGAUUUGCGCCUUCUUGGAAGGAGUUUGCGACGACAGUCAAAGAUUGGAAGAACCGAGUCGCUGUUGGAGCCAUCGACUGCGCUAACGAAGAAAACAACCCGCUUUGCCGCGAAUUUGAAAUUAUGGGAUACCCAACUUUGAGGUAUUUCCACGAACAAUACAUCGAGGGGCCGAAAAAUUUAGGUAUACAGGUCAGUGCUAAAGGGGGAGCCGAUGAUCAUAAAGUAACAUUGUUGGAGACCAUUGUGGCUGAGCAAAAAGAAGGCAGAGGUAAACAGUAUCCGGAUAUUUCUCCCUAUUUGAGCAAACAUACGGACGAACUUUUUACUGAUGUUAAUGUAAAAUAUGUGUUUUUGGUGGUGCAAGAACCUGGUUCAAUUGUUGGGCAAACCAUUGCCUUGGACUUGGCACAAAAUCCAAACGUGCGAAUCAGGUAUGCCACCAAAGAAAACACUGACUUGUUGAAUAGUUUGAACAUUCAAAAUGUCCCUGCUGUUGUUGUCUUUGAUAGUAACAGAAACAGAGAGGUUUUAACAAUUUUGGACAACCCAAAGAACACCAUUCUAGAUUAUCUUCAGUCCAAAAACAUUAACGUCAAGAAUAGUCAAAAUUCCAAUGAAGAUAACGUAGAAACCAGAAUCGAACCAGUAGAAGAUGCACAACUGGAAAAAAUAAAAAGAAUGGGCGACGUAGUCUUCCAAAAAGAUUUAGAAACAGCCCUCAGAUACUCACUAAGAAAAGAAGUAUCAAGAACUAAAGAAAUAACAGGUUAUAAACUGGCAGCUUUAAGGAAUUACCUGAGUGUUCUAAUCAAGUACUUCCCGUUCGGAAAAUACGGACAAGCCUUCCUGAUGGAUCUAAAAUAUUACGUGGACGGAAGGGACAUGGUACGGGGAAAAGACAUCUUCGACAAGGUGAAGGCGGCCGAAAAGCUAGACAGUCAAGUGUUUUCGACGCCGGAAGGAUGGAUUGGUUGUCGGGGAAGUACCAAAACAUUCCGCGGCUACCCUUGUGGUCUGUGGAAAAUGUUCCACUACUUAUCCAUGCAACACUACGAGAAAAACCUUCAGAAUCCAGACGCCCAACCGUCGGAAGUGUUGGAAGCCAUGCACGGAUACAUAAAAGAGUUCUUCGGCUGCACCGAUUGUUCUCAGCAUUUCCAGGAGAUGGCCAAAAGAAGGAAAUAUCAGGAAGUAGCCUCGGUAAAGGACGCGGUCCUUUGGCUGUGGUCCGCACAUAACGAGGUGAACAACCGUCUGCACGGCGACGCGACGGAAGACCCAAAAUUCCCCAAGAUCCAGUUUCCAUCUCAACAAAAUUGUCCGCAAUGUCGCCUGAACGACGACUCCUUCGUAGUCCCGGAAGUGUUCAACUACCUGAAAACGAUGUACGGAGUCAAUAACGUCCGUUACAUCGACUCGGACACUAGGAUCCUGCAUUUGGGAUUGGAGGGACCGGUCAGUUCCGGAUCGGCGCCGAAUUUUUUCCAAACGCUUGAUACGAGUAUGUGUUUUAUAAUUUACGUAACCUCAUUUGCAUUGAUACUAUUUUUAAUUAGGCUGUUUUUGAAAAGGGGUUAUAGGAAAAAGGCGUAUGUGCACGAUUUGUUAGGGAAAGUUUGAGAAUUUUAACUUAAAAGGUAUGAAUUGGACAUUGCUGCGUUUAAUGUUCAAGGUUUUAUUUGGAAAACUGCCAUUUAUCUUGGUUACUUAUGUAUAUAUUUAAUUGUUCGACUACAAUUAUGCAAUCGUUGAUGAUUCUACCUAUGAAUUAAUAACGAGUUGGAGAUGCAUCAUUAAAAUUAAAAUUCUUUGUGUAAUUUUCAGGAUAAAUGUAUAUAUUGUUUAAUCUUGCAAUAUUUAUUUCCAUAAGAAUUUAUAUAGAUUUAAUAUUUAUUAUACUGAUAAGUAUAUGAAGUAUAUUUAUUAGCUAUAUAUUUGAUAAGAAUAACCAAUCAAUUUUAUAGCAUUUGUAUGAAAUUAUAAAGGCUGUGAAUUCAAAUAAGUAGAUGUUUUUUAAUUAACAUUCCUUUUUAAAAUCUAGAAAAUUUAUACAUUAAGAGAAUAUGCUUAAUUAGUCAAGAUUGUGAUAAACAUGUUUUCGUUUCGUAAUAUUUAAUAUUAAUUCGCAGAUAAUGAUUCUUAUUACGUUCACCAACUAUUUAUUGGUACGUUAAGAUAUAAAUUAAAGUACAUAAUUUCGAUAAAACUUAUUAAUAAAAAAUAUUUAUUGUUCUGUGUUUAUUAGAUGGCAUUAAACGUGUAUUAAUUUUAUUUGAGAAAUUAAUGCAUGAUACAAUUUAUGUAUCAUAUUCAUUUAUUUAUUUCAUACUGGUAUUAUGAUGAUGAACAUUAAAUCGCAAUGUUUGUUUCAUGUCGUGUUUGUAUACAUUCCAAAUAUGUAAUUUUUGUUGAUUAUUGUUCUGUUUGUUUAUUAAUUCUAUAACUAAUAAUUAUUUGUCAAUUUUAAAACUGUUUCUUCUUUAUAUGUUUGCAACAUCUCUCUUACUAACAAUAAUUUCAUUUCUUGAAAAUGAUACAUGAAACACUUUUUUAAUAUUUUAUUUCUAUUUUUGUUAAAAGUAAUUUCCACCUAUAUAGAUAUGUUGUUGUAUUUGUUAUCAGAAAAUUUAACUUUCAAAUAUAAAUUUUUACGUAAACUUAUUAGAUCUUUAAAAUAUGUUAAAAUCCGAUUACAAAUUUUAAUUGCAAAUAUUAUUUAAUUUAGUUCUUUAUAAAGCAAAUAAAAACCCAAAUUAGUUGAUAAAAAAAAACAUAAAAUCAUAUGACAAAAGGUUAAUUAUUGUUCCCAAUUCUGUGCUAGUCAAAAAAUUGUGUUUCAUGCUCAGUUUCAAAGCGUAUUACUAACAAUUAAUUAACUGUGUACCCUAAAUCCGUAGAGUUUGUUACACGUCACAUAUAACAUAUAUAACCAAAGCAAAUGCUCAAGAUUAAUGAUCGAUGUACAAGAAUAGAUAAACAAAAAACACAUAUACAUACAUAUAUAUAUAUAUUUUAUUGCAAUUAUGAUAAAACCGUUUAGACUGAUUAUAUUUAAAUAUUUUUUUAUGAAUUGUUAAUCUAUUUUAAAUUAAUAAAAACUGCAUCACUAAUUUGUGUUUUAAAUACACAGACCUCUUCACACAAAUACCUAAUUUCGUUUUGCACAGUUCGGUGUCUUCCGAAUUCUUCUAGGGUUGAUGGUCACUUUUGGACGCAUUUUAUGAUAUUUUAAUGGGAUUGACAAAAGAGUAGUUUUUAUGCUUUGUUCCUGUAGACGCUUCUUCGGAAUACUUUUCCUUAAUACUUAGUUUAGACUAAUAGAAAAACUUAGAAGCCACCCCAAGAGCAAGUAAACCUCAUCACAAUUAUUCCAUUAAUCUUAGUAAUGUAAUUAUUGUAGUUUAGAUUUUCAAGUUUUUACGUUUAUAGAUUAUAUAAUUUUUUAUACUGUUGCAUUUAUAGAGUUAUAUAAAAUUUGUACAUUAUUUAAUCAUUAAAACUCGAAAUUUUUUCCUAUUAUUGACUUAUUAUAUGUGACUAAUAAAUAUUUUUGUGUUUGAUAA